rnacentral:rRNA from 1 species
UACGUAGGGGGCAAGCGUUGUCCGGAAUCAUUGGGCGUAAAGCGCGCGUAGGCGGUUCCGUAAGUCUGCUGUGAAAGUCGGAGGCUCAACCUUCGAAAGCCGGUGGAUACUGUGGAACUAGAGUGCGGAAGAGGCAAGUGGAAUUCCUGGUGUAGCGGUGAAAUGCGCAGAUAUCAGGAGGAACACCAACGGCGAAGGCAGCUUGCUGGGACGUUACUGACGCUGAGACGCGAAAGCGUGGGGAGCAAACAGG